UGGGGAAUUUUGGACAAUGGGCGCAAGCCUGAUCCAGCCAUGCCGCGUGAGUGAAGAAGGCCUUCGGGUUGUAAAGCUCUUUCGGACGGGAAGAAAUGGCGGGCUCUAACAUAGCCUGUCGAUGACGGUACCGUAAGAAGAAGCACCGGCUAACUACGUGCCAGCAGCCGCGGUAAUACGUAGGGUGCGAGCGUUAAUCGGAAUUACUGGGCGUAAAGCGUGCGCAGGCGGUUUUGUAAGACAGAUGUGAAAUCUCCCGGCUUAACUGGGAGGGUGCGCCGAAGACUGGGAAGCUGGAGUGUGGGAAAGGCCGGCGGAAUUCCUGGUGUAGCGGUGAAAUGCGUAGAUAUCAGGAGGAACACCGGCGGUGUAGACGGCUUGCUAGACCAUAACUGACGCUGAGGCACGAAAGCGUGGGUAGCAAACA
rnacentral:rRNA from 1 species